AACGAACGCUGGCGGCAUGCCUAACACAUGCAAGUCGAACGAGACCUUCGGGUCUAGUGGCGCACGGGUGCGUAACGCGUGGGAACCUGCCCUUAGGUUCGGAAUAACUCCCCGAAAGGGGUGCUAAUACCGGAUAAUGUCUUCGGACCAAAGAUUUAUCGACUUUGGAUGGGCCCGCGUUGGAUUAGCUAGUUGGUAGGGUAAAAGCCUACCAAGGCGACGAUCCAUAGCUGGUCUGAGAGGAUGAUCAGCCACACUGGGACUGAGACACGGCCCAGACUCCUACGAGAGGCAGCAGUGGGGAAUAUUGGACAAUGGGCGAAAGCCUGAUCCAGCAAGGCCGCGUGAGUGAUGAAGGCCUUAGGGUUGUAAAGCGCUUUUACCCGGGAUGAUAAUGACAGUACCGGGAGAAUAAGCUCCGGCUAACUCCGUG
rnacentral:rRNA from 1 species